ensembl:lncRNA
GGACCACUGCAGGGGCAACCACCAUCAGAUAGAACCACCACCAGGUUGGGUGGUUAUUAAUUGAGUUGUCUUCCAUGAGCAAGGUACGGACAUUUUUGGUUCCCACAGAGUUUUAAGUUGAAGAAAAAUUGAAGUAAAAUUGGAACGAUCCAAUUGUACAAUCCAAAAUUAAUACGACACUUGUAUUUAACCUUUGCUCUUUCAUCUAAUUUUCCAUUUACUUCCACCAUGACUGGAAACACUCAGAGUGCUAAUUAAAAGCAAAACCACUUAAGGUCCUUGAUUCAUGUACCAAAGAAAAUGAGUCAUCAUUGCAUUUAGUUAUAGGGGGUGACUCAUAAGUGCAUUGCUGAGCACAUCUGUGACCAUCACAAAGACCACAGCUCUGUAAAGGGCUGUUGAAACAUCUAUUUACUAAUCCAUCACUCAGUCACGCUCAAAAAGAAAACUUCCUUAACUUUGACAUCCUGUGGAUGUUUAAAAAAGGCGCACACACACACACACUGCGGGAGGUAGGACUCAGACGCAGAGUUCAAAAACAAAAGGGACUUUUAAUAGUCAAAAGCAAAAUCAAAAGGCCAAGGGGCAAAAACACACAGGAACCAGGGGGAAAAACAGCAGGCAGGAAACUAUGAAAAUCCACGACGAUAGACAAGGACAUGCGUGGCCAAAGACAAUGACGCGACAACCGACACACAUGGCUUAAAUACACUAGGGAGGUGCAAGUGAUUGGACACAGGUGGAAACUAUUAGACGCUCACAGGGGAUGACAUGACAAGGCAGGAAGUGAAGUUACCCGGGGACACGAGUGGCAGAAAACUACAAAAUAUAACAUGAAGUGAACCACACCGUGACAGUACCCCCCCCCCCCCCCUCAAGGGCCAAAUUCCAGACGGCUCACAUCAGAGACGUUGGUCGGACCACCCGGGAAACUCUGGCGGGCGGCCCGGCGGGCGGCCAGACGAGCGGGGAGCCUCUGGGGGUCGGCCCGGCGGACGGUCACCAGGCCGGCUCCGGAGCGCCGACCUGCAGGGCAGGGAACGUCUCUGGAAUGGGUGGCUCGGAGACACGGGAAACCUCCGGGGUCCUCGGUGGCUCGGGGGCCCGGAACACGGGCGCGGUCGUCGAUGGCGGCUCGGGGGCACGGAACACGGGCGCGGUCGUCGGUGGCGGCUCCGGGGCACGGAAACACGGGGCGCGGUCGUCGGUGGCAGCUCGCGGGCACGGAACACGGGCGCGGUCGUCGGUGGCGGCUCGGGGACACUGAAUACGUCCGCAGUAGUCUGCGGCGGUGGCGGCUCGGGGACACUGAACACGUCCGCAGUAGUCUGCGGCGGCUCCAGCUCGGGGACACGGAACACGUCCGGGGUCGUCGGUAGCUCGGGGGCACGGAACACCGGCGCGGUCGGCUCCAGCUCGGGGACACGGAACACCUCCGCGGUCGGCUCCAGCUCGGGGACACGGAACACCUCCGCGUCGGCUCCAGCUCGGGGACACGGAACACGUCCGCAGUAGUCGGCGGCGGCUCCAGCUCGGGGACACGGAACACCUCCGCAGUAGUCGGCGGCGGCUCGGGGACACUGAACACCACCGCGGCCGUCGCCGGCUCGGGGACACGGAACACCACCGCGGUUGUCGGCGUGAGGAUGCAGGAAGCCGGAGUUGCCAGCUGGAGGGAGCGGGAAGCCCCCGGAGUCGCUGUUGCACACAGGGGAUGAC